UACAGAGGGUGCGAGCGUUAAUCGGAAUUACUGGGCGUAAAGCGCACGUAGGUGGCGACGUAAGUCGGGUGUGAAAGCCCCGGGCUCAACCUGGGAAUUGCAUUCGAGACUGCAUUGCUGGAGUACGGAAGAGGUGGGCGGAAUUCCCGGUGUAGCGGUGAAAUGCGUAGAUAUCGGGAGGAACAUCAGUGGCGAAGGCGGCCCGCUGGUCCAGUACUGACACUCAAGUGCGAAAGCGUGGGGAGCAAACAGG
rnacentral:rRNA from 1 species